rnacentral:rRNA from 1 species
CGGCACGGGUGAGUAACACGUAUCCAACCUGCCGUCUACUCUUGGACAGCCUUCUGAAAGGAAGAUUAAUACAAGAUGGCAUCAUGAGUCCGCAUGUUCACAUGGUUAAAGGUAUUCCGGUAGACGAUGGGGAUGCGUUCCAUUAGAUAGUAGGCGGGGUAACGGCCCACCUAGUCUUCGAUGGAUAGGGGUUCUGAGAGGAAGGUCCCCCACAUUGGAACUGAGACACGGUCCAA